ensembl:lncRNA
GCUGCUCCGACCUCAGCACCCGCAGCAGCUUUUCUCUCUCACAGAUAUGGACAGGCACCCCAUUGAGACAUUGUCCCAGAACCCCUAGCUAACAGACUUCCAGGCACAGGAUCUCUCACCUGGAGAAACAAGAUGCCAUUAAAACUGCUACUGAUGGUCACAUGUCCUGCUCUCCAUCUUGCCUUCUGCACGGGAAUCAGAGAGCCUGGCUGACGGCUGGCACUGUGAAACCUACUCAUUCUCAGAACCGGAUAAGAAGAGACUCCCACUUCUGCCAGCUCUGCUGCCACUCCCACAUGCCUUCUUCAGAACUUCAAUGUCAUACAGAAGAAAGACUUCUUUGGUAAAAGUCAAUCAUUGAUCAAGUCCAAGAUCCACAGUCUGGACCUCCAAGUACUGCUCAUUACUUUCCUGAUGAAGAGUUUGGUGGAGCUCUAGUCAAUCCUUCUACAUCUGUCAUUCACACAGAACCAGAAGUGUGACCUCCUGGGUGGUUCCCUCCUACCUGCCUUCCCAUACUCCACCCACCAUUGCAUGGCUGCCUUUCCUACCAUUUAGUUCCACAUACCUCAAGCCUGUUCUCUGCUCUAUGGAUGCUGACCUUACAUCUCAGAGAAGCUCAACAGAGUCACACUGCCCAGGCAGAAAGCUCACGCAGGUGGCAGUUAGCUGGGUGGAAACCGAGUCUCAGUCCUGAUGGUUUUUAUGAAGUCACUGGCAAAGCAGAACAGGAGGCACCAAGGGGGCCUGGACUAGCCUCUUGGAGUCUUUGAGCGAAGUUGCAAGGAUUAUGGGGCACCUACAUUGUCUCUUUCAAGGGCCAGCCACCAGGGAACACACCGUUGUCAAGUUUUUAGAUACUAACUAAGGAUGCUCUCUUGACUGCUCACCAUGCUGGCUUUGUAAAGGCAGACUUCAUUUUCCUGGCUUCCUGGACUGAGGGUUCAUGGACAUGUUCAAGGACAAACUAACAGUAAGCAGCCACGGCGGGCCUUGGGACCCAGGCCAGAUGUCCUUUGUAGUAUUCCCUCAUGCUACCUCCCUCACGCAAAGAUGAACGUACAGUGUUCUUUAGUAUGAACAGGCAGUGACGGGCACAGGGAAACAGGACAAAUGCAUGUUGGUUCUAGCCACCAACUCUCUGGGAUCAUUUCUCACAGCUGAGAUGUGCUGAGCAGUGGCUGUUUCUUCAGACUUUGAGAUUCAAUGUCUUAUGUCAGUGCAAACAGUUUAGCAUGUCCUCUAUGUUCUGGAAAAAAAUCUUAUGAGCAGUACCAAUGCUUAAAAAAACCAAACUAAACCUGGUGCCUUAGCUGUAAGGAAAAAGUAGAAGGAAAGUAGUUUGAAACAAAUGCCAUUGUGAUUUUGGUUUUGUUUGUUUGUUUUCAGACGACAUUAAAGGUAGGUUUAUUGGGAAGCUGCUCUCAAGCAGGCUGGGUGAGUUCACUGGCCCCAAGGAAGGAAGCCAGCAAAAUUGCCAGGGUGCAGAGUGAGAGAAGAGAGGGGGAAGGAAGAAGAGGUGGAGGAGAAGGAGAAGGAGGAGCAGGAGGAAGAGGAAGAGGAGGAAGAAGGAGAAGAGGAGGAGGAGAAGAAGGAGAAGAAGAAGAAGAAGAAGAAGAAGAAGAAGAAGAAGAAGAAGAAGAAGAAGAAGAAGAAGAAGAAGAAGAAGAAGAAGAAAGAAGAAGAGAGGUAGUUUUGUUUGUUAAUGUUUGUGGCCAACACCACUUGUGGAACUAACACAGUGGACAAAAGUUUGCACAUGUCUGUUGAAAUAGCUAAAAUAUGUGUGAGCAGGGGCAGGUACACGUGUCUCUCACACCAUCAUAACCUCUGUAGGGCAGUACUGGAAGUGCUGACAUUUGGUAAAGUUUAGAACAAAGCCUCGGAAUAGCCUGUUUCCAAUACAGCGGGGUGAUGGCAUUCCUUUAAGCACCAGUGUGCAUUAAAACUUAGCAAACACACACUUUGUGUUUAUAUGAAGGGGAUUUAAGUUCUAGGCUCAGAUAAUACAAACGGACUUCCCUAAGAAUGUUGGUCAAGGUUGGAUUGCAGGGUGAGUGGGGGUGGUGUUGUGGAAGUGUAGCAAGGAUUUAUUUGUAGGAAUCUGUCUUCAAAUUACCAACAUCUUAGAUCCACGGUCACAACCCCUGUGCCCCCAGCAUCUAUGCGCCCUGUAUCCCUGUUAUCCCCUGGUACCUGUGAGUAGAGGUACAGCCCCCAGGGAAGAUCAUAUUUAGAAGCUAACUUACAGAUAAAGAUGGGUGGCUACCACCAUUAUGUUGUAUUGCUAUUUAUUUAUUUAUUUGCUUAUAUUCAGUGGAAUGGAACCCAGGGUCUUCUACAUGCUAAGUACUUUACCACUGACCUACAACUUCAACCACUACUUUGGUUUGGAUGAACAUAAUUUAACACUCACACUGGACAGUGCUUUUCAGCUCAG